AUACAUCCUUUUUUACUUGUGUUAAAUUAUAAUUGAUAUAUCCGUCAUAUCCUCCUCUAGAUCAAAAUAAGCAAUCCCUUUCCCCCUUCUGAAUUAAAAACUGUCUACACCCGUGAGCAUUACAAAUAAUAGUAAAAGUCACUCCAUAGCCUAUGUGAUUUAUAUUAUGAAAAUUAUUUUUAAUAACAUAACCUAACAGCAACCUAUGAGUUUGGAAGAAAUCCACACAGUGCUAACAGCAGCGAGCGGAGGGAGCGGGGCUAAGUAUGACGUCGUCUACAAAUGGUUCGCGGAGUGCGGUAUUAUUGAUGGUCAACUAAUCGAUGAAGAAUUGUAUGAGAGAUCGUACGUUAGAAUAAAUCCAAACAAAGAAGAUUUAUCUCUCGUACAAUUCAUACAACUCGUAGGAAUACUAUCACGGCACGCGAGGAAAGAUUCGACAGAGUUCAUACGGAAAUUCGAAACUGUGAAAAAUAUUGUUAUUGAUGAAAUAAGAGCUGCUUUUGACUCCUAAA